UACGUAGGGGGCUAGCGUUGUCCGGAUUUAUUGGGCGUAAAGAGCGUGUAGGCGGCCAGAUAGGUCUGCUGUGAAAACUCGAGGCUCAACCUCGAGAUGUCGGCGGAAACCAUUUGGCUAGAGUCCGGAAGAGGAAAGUGGAAUUCCUGGUGUAGCGGUGAAAUGCGCAGAUAUCAGGAAGAACACCCGUAGCGAAGGCGGCACUCUGGGCCGAUACUGACACUGAGGAGCGAAAGCGUGGGGAGCGAACAGG
rnacentral:rRNA from 1 species